UCAAGUCAGACGCGUCGCCCAGUAAUCAACCUCGGCUCUUUCGCAGAGGCUCACUUUCUGGGUUCGACGGGUCAGCAUCAAUUUCAACCGUCAGAUAAAGUCAAGAGGAAUGUGGCAUCUUCGGAUGUGUUUAUAGCCUCCUGUUCGCAUGUGGCGGUUGGGGUUGAGGA
rnacentral:rRNA from 1 species